CAGCCUUGUAGCACGCACAGGGAGACAUGUUAUACACACCUACACAACUUCAGUUUGAUAACUUAGUGGUAACAGAUCAUUUCGAAUGAAAUUUUGGUAAGAUGGUCCAUGCGACAUUUGAUUUACCGGCCUUCCGACUACAUCUUAGUGAUAUGCAGAAUCGAUGUUGAAAAUACCAUUUUGUAGUAUGGAUCGAUUUAAGUCUUAAACGGAAGCAUAAGGCACCGCAUGUUAAACGAUUUCCCACGACCAACUGGCGAUCAUGUGCUCAAUCACUUUGCAAGUAAUGCUCAUGAUUAUUGACUCUCAGGCAUUUUAAUUCGAUGAAUGAAUCGAACAAUAGCGUCGAAUCGUUCUUUCAGACGAUAAGAGGCUUCUGAAGCAAUAUUGUGUGUUCAUAAAGCACCAGCAUGGAACUAGUUAUUCAGAAAACGCUGUUAUUAUUAUAUUGCUCCAAAUACAUAACAGGUGUUCUUUUCAUUGACAGCAGUCUAGACCAGUGGUAUUCAACCUUUUUUGUUCGCGUACCCCCAGAUAUAAUUUCUCUUCCAACUUUGUACCCCCAAAGUUGUCGGUGUAUAAUUCAAGUUAUACAUAAUAUAUAAUCUACAUCUAAAAUAAAUUACAUUACUGAUUAUUCAGUGUUUAUCAUAAAAUAUUUUUUUUUUUAAAUUUCACGUACCCCCUAAAAUGUCUUAGCGUACCCCUGGUGGUACGCCUACCCCAGGUUGAAUACCACUGGUCUAGACCAUUGGAUGGGAAAAUACAGCCCAGAAUGGAAGCGGUCCACCGAAAUUUUCAAUUAUGUUAGGGCGAAGUGUAUGUUACUUAUAGAAAAUGAACCUUCUUUUACAGGGUUUUGAUUGAAAUGAACUGUAGGCCUACUAAA